AGGACGAACGCUGGCGGCGUGCUUAACACAUGCAAGUCGAGCGGUGAUCCUCCUUCGGGAGGUGAUCAGCGGCGAACGGGUGAGUAACACGUGGGCAACCUGCCCCUCACACUGGGAUAACCUCGGGAAACCGGGGCUAAUACCGGAUACGACCUCGAGCGGCAUCUCUUGAGGUGGAAAGCUCCGACGGUGAGGGAUGGGCCCGCGGCCUAUCAGCUUGUUGGUGGGUAAUCGGCCUACCAAGGCGACGACGGGUA
rnacentral:rRNA from 1 species